rnacentral:rRNA from 1 species
GAUCCUGCUCAGGAUGAACGCUAGCUACAGGCUUAACACAUGCAAGUCGAGGGGAAACGACAUCGAAAGCUUGCUUUUGAUGGGCGUCGACCGGCGCACGGGUGAGUAACGCGUAUCCAACCUGCCCACCACUUGGGGAUAACCUUGCGAAAGUAAGACUAAUACCCAAUGACAUCCCACGAAGACAUCUGAAUGGGAUUAAAGAUUUAUCGGUGAUGGAUGGGGAUGCGUCUGAUUAG